rnacentral:rRNA from 1 species
GACGAACGCUGGCGGCGUGCUUAACACAUGCAAGUCGAGCGAUGAAGUUCCUUCGGGAAUGGAUUAGCGGCGGACGGGUGAGUAACACGUGGGUAACCUGCCUCAUAGAGGGGAAUAGCCUUUCGAAAGGAAGAUUAAUACCGCAUAAGAUUGUAGUACCGCAUGGUACAGCAAUUAAAGGAGUAAUCCGCUAUGAGAUGGACCCGCGUCGCAUUAGCUAGUUGGUGAGGUAACGGCUCACCAAGGCGACGAUGCGUAGCCGACCUGAGAGGGGGAUCGGCCACAUUGGGACUGAGACACUGCCCAGACUCCUACGGGAGGCAGCAGUGGGGAAUAUUGCACAAUGGGGGAAACCCUGAUGCAGCAACGCCGCGUGGGUGAUGACGGUCUUCGGAUUGUAAAGCUCUGUCUUCAGGGACGAUAAUGACGGUACCUGAGGAGGAAGCCACGGCUAACUACGUGCCAGCCGCCGCCGUAA